GCGGUAGUUCAGUCGGUUAGAAUACCUGCCUGUCACGCAGGGGGUCGCGGGUUCGAGUCCCGUCCGU
rnacentral:tRNA from 1 species